UUUAUCCUCAUAUUUACCCUUGUAAACUUUGAUAACCUCUCUACAAAGUGAAGUACAAGACUGUUUCAUCACCAACAUAUUCUUCGAUUUGUUCAGCCAUUCCCCAAUUGAUGGACAUCCUCUUCAUUUCCAAUUCUUUACCAUGACAAAAAGAGCUUCUAUUAAUAUGUUUUGUACAGACACUUGUGCAUGAAGAUUUAGGUGGAAACGUCAAUGCACAGAGACAGUCCCACUCUCUCGGCGUUGGAAGCCUGGGUCCAGUGGCACAAAAAGUCGUUACACCUGGAGACUUCCUCAGCUGCAUUAGAUGGCCGUGUUGUCUUUUGUGCUCCAACACACCCUAAGCACUCCACAGUGCCUUGCUGUAUCGCCAUCUCAGCCGUUGAACCUUCUUGUUGGUUUCUUUCGCCUGUUUGGCUGAAGCAGUCUUCACAUGCUGGAUGAGGAAACUGAGGCAAACCGAAUCAAGCAGCUUAUCCAGAAUGACACAGCUAAUAAGUGUCUGAGGCUGAAUUUGAACUCAAGCCUUCUGGCUCCAGGGCUGGAACUCUAUUCAUUACAUCACCUGGCACAUAGUAGGUGCUUAAUAAAUGUUUAUUGAUUGAUUGAUUGAAAUUCUUC
rnacentral:lncRNA from 1 species